ACGGGAUCCUUCGGGGUCUAGUGGCGCACGGGUGCGUAACGCGUGGGAAUCUGCCCUUGGGUUCGGAAUAACAGUUAGAAAUGACUGCUAAUACCGGAUGAUGACUUCGGUCCAAAGAUUUAUCGCCCAGGGAUGAGCCCGCGUAGGAUUAGGUAGUUGGUGGGGUAAAGGCCUACCAAGCCGACGAUCCUUAGCUGGUCUGAGAGGAUGAUCAGCCACACUGGGACUGAGACACGGCCCAGACUCCUACGGGAGGCAGCAGUGGGGAAUAUUGGGCAAUGGGCGAAAGCCUGAUCCACCAAUGCCGCGUGAGUGAUGAAGGCCUUAGGGUCGUAAAGCUCUUUUACCCGGGAUGAUAAUGACAGUACCGGGAGAAUAAGCUCCGGCUAACUCCGUGCCAGCAGCCGCGGUAAUACGGAGGGAGCUAGCGUUGUUCGGAAUUACUGGGCGUAAAGCGCGCGUAGGCGGUUAUUCAAGUCAGAGGUGAAAGCCCGGGGCUCAACCCCGGAACGGCCUUUGAAACUAGGUAACUAGAAUCUUGGAGAGGUCAGUGGGAUUCCGAGUGUAGAGGUGAGAUUCGUAGAUAUUCGGAAGAACACCAGUGGCGAAGGCGACUGACU
rnacentral:rRNA from 1 species